rnacentral:rRNA from 1 species
AGUGAACGCUGGCGGUAGGCCUAACACAUGCAAGUCGAACGGCAGCACAGAGGAGCUUGCUCCUUGGGUGGCGAGUGGCGGACGGGUGAGGAAUACAUCGGAAUCUACUCUGUCGUGGGGAUAACGUAGGGAAACUUACGCUAAUACCGCAUACGACCUACGGGUGAAAGCAGGGGAUCUUCGGACCUUGCGCGAUUGAAUGAGCCGAUGUCGGAUCAGCUAGUUGGCGGGGUAAAGGCCCACCAAGGCGACGAUCCGUAGCUGGUCUGAGAGGAUGGUCAGCCACACUGGAACUGAGACACGGUCCAGACUCCGACGGGAGGCAGCAGUGGGGAAUAUUGGACAAUGGGCGCAAGCCUGAUCCAGCCAUACCGCGUGGGUGAAGAAGGCCUUCGGGUUGUAAAGCCCUUUUGUUGGGAAAGAAAUCCAUCUGGUUAAUACCCGGGUGGGAUGACGGUACCCAAAGAAUAAGCACCGGCUAACUUCGUGCCAGCCGCCGCCGUAA